rnacentral:rRNA from 1 species
AUUGAACGCUGGCGGCAUGCCUUACACAUGCAAGUCGAACGGCAGCACGGGAGCAAUCCUGGUGGCGAGUGGCGAACGGGUGAGUAAAGUAUCGGAACGUGCCCAGUCGUGGGGGAUAACGUAGCGAAAGUUACGCUAAUACCGCAUACGAUCUAUGGAUGAAAGCGGGGGAUCGCAAGACCUCGCGCGAUUGGAGCGGCCGAUAUCCGAUUAGGUAGUUGGUGGGGUAAAAGCUCACCAAGCCGACGAUCUGUAGCUGGUCUGAGAGGACGACCAGCCACACUGGGACUGAGACACGGCCCAGACUCCUACGGGAGGCAGCAGUGGGGAAUUUUGGACAAUGGGCGAAAGCCUGAUCCAGCCAUGCCGCGUGCAGGAUGAAGGCCUUCGGGUUGUAAACUGCUUUUGUACGGAACGAAAAGGUUUGGCCUAAUAAGCUGAGCUCAUGACGGUACCGUAAGAAUAAGCACCGGCUGACUACGUGCCAGCCGCCGCCGUAA